GGUCCCAUGGUGUAGGGGUUAUCACGGCCGCUCAGCAUGCAGCAGGUCCUGGGUUCUAUCCCCACUGGGACCA